rnacentral:lncRNA from 1 species
CAUUUUAAAAUAUAAACGUAGUUGGCUGUAAAAAGUUUUCACUGUCAUUUUCAACGCAUAUCAUAAUAAUUGCCAGUAACUUAAAAAAACUGCAUUAAUAUAUAAAUAAUCGUGUCUUGUCAAUCACCGUUGUUUCGUUAGACGAAAUUCCAUAAUUCCGUUGUACCACGCAUAUUUACUUCUACGUCAGUUCUCGACAAUAUAUACGAGAAUUCGGAAUUCAAACAUAAAUGGCCUAAAACUUAGGCCUGGCUAAACGAAGAAGUAUUUAACUAAUAAUAUAUAUCAUAUUAAAAUGUGUUUGUAAAACACUUCAAUAUUAAACAUUGUUGAAAUAAUACGAGGGCUGGUUUUCAACCAGCAUGCAAAGUUUCAAUGUGAACAAACUGAAGAAUAAUUUUGCAUGAAAUAAGUAUGAACAUAAACUUAUUGUUUGUUCGAAUAGUAUCGAAUCGAUUUUGGCAGGCAUCGAACGGCAGCAAGGUGGUUUAAAUUAUCGUAGAUUAGACUGCCGUUAUAACAUCAGAAACCAUUUAAGUUAAAGCUAAGUAUUAAGCUUUAUAUAUUGCUGGCGACUAACAGCAUUUUUCGGGAACUCCCUUAAAUCAGUGCAUAGUGCAACAAACCAUUCGCAAAUCCUUCACAUUCGCCCCCCUGUCGAUGACACAUCAAGCUGUGGACAAUGCUAAGACAAGCAUCUGCGGAAGAUGGAGCGUUGGCAGCUAAUCCUGCCAUAUUAAUCACUACAGAAACAUUAAAAAUUAAUGAAAAUUAACAAAAAGGUAGUUUUAACUGAGUAUUAACUACUCAGUAGCGACAAAAAUAAUGCCAAAUUUAGUUGAACAGGUAACGGAGACGCAGCUGAUUUUGUUAUGAUACUACGACUUUGUUGUCUAUUUCAGUAGCACGUAAUUAAUUAAUGUCUGAUAUUUUAAGUACGCUCAGCUAAUAGUCUAGGCUCCUUUAGAAAGAAUGGCAUAAAAAUAUGUAAGUUAUUACUUGUGAUUUGAAUUCUGUCAGUGAAACUCACUGAAUCGAACGUUUGCAAACAGUAAUUUUAUAUUGAACAGAUUGUUUCCUACAAUGAUUUCUUUAAAUUUGAAUAACUGAUACGAGACUGAAUACUGGAUAAUAUAUAACAUAUCAGCCUAC